UUGCAAGCCUUCCAGCAUGCUUGGGUCUAGGGUGACUCAGUGCAUUCCUUGCUAGAAUGUCCUGAAAUGGUUUGAGGCUUUGCCCUGUCCCUGCCUCGGAGCAUGGUCAUAGACAUUUCAGGCAGUU
ensembl:snoRNA